AAGAUAUGGAGAGAUUUGAACCCUCAUAUAUUGCUGCUGGAAUUGUGAAGUGGCUCGGCUGCUUUGGAAAAUUGUUUGGCAGUUUCUUAAAAUGUGAACUAUAUUUAUAUAUUUGUAGAUAUUUUAUAUCAUCUAGCAAUUCUAUUCCUAGAUGUUCAACCAAGAGAAAUUAAGAUGUGUAUCGAUAUGAAGACUUGAACAUGCACAUUCAUAGCAACGUUGUUCAGAGUAUCUAAAAGAUGAGAUGAGUACUUGACUUGAAUACGUGGAAAGUCACAUAUAUCAGGCUAAAGAAAGCAUUUAGUGGACACCUCCAAAAUGCCAAGCACCAAUACACAUUUUUCUCAUUUAAUCCUCCCAGCAGCAUUAAAAGAAAAACAAAUGCUAACAGGAAACAAAGAAUGCUUCCUUUAUUGCUUGGGUAAUGCAAGCCAACAUCAAAAUUGAUGAAGAAACAGAUUGGACUUGUUUAGGAAAGAAGACAGAUGUGUAUUUGUAACUGAGAAGCUAACAGAGCAAGUCUAACUUCAGCCAGAACUUCAAAUACUGAUCGUUGGAACAUUGCUUCGCUCAGUCUCUCCUCUAUUUCUUGAUGAUUGAGGGCUUCAGACUGUAGUAUCUCUAUUGUUUAAAACCUACCAGGGAUGUUGUCGCAAGUCUUCUGAAUAUGAGACACAGGAUGGACAAGCUCUUUAAAGGGAGAUGGCUUCAAAUACCAAGGACAUGGUGAUAAGGAACCAAGACGUUAUCACUGGGAGACAAGCUCCUGACUGUGACUUCCUACGGAAGGAUGAUCAGAGCCUGUGUGCAAGUGUGCCAUGGCUGAGUGAACAGCCUGUCAAGGAAUGUGUUAUCAUCAGCGCAGAACCCAGACUUGACUGGAUGUAAAUUUACACACACAUUUAAACAUAUGGAAUUUGUCUAGCAAAUAUGCUCUUGUGGUGUAGGAUACUUUAAUAAAGAUUAAUAAUAAAUCGGAUA